rnacentral:lncRNA from 1 species
GUCCAGCCAGUGGUGCUGUUACACUGCCUAUCUAUCUGUUGUCCAGCCGGUGGUGCUGUUACACUGCCUAUCUAUCUGUUGUCCAGCCAGUGGUGCUGUUACACUGCCUAUCUAUCUGUGGUCCGGCCAGUGGUGCUGUUACACUGCCUAUCUAUCUGUUGUCCAGCCAGUGGUGCUGUUACACUGCCUAUCUAUCUGUUGUCCAGCCAGUGGUGCUGUUACACUGCCUAUCUAUCUGUUGUCCAGCCAGUGGUGCUGUUACACUGCCUACCUAUCUGUUGUCCAGCCAAUGGUGCUGUUACACUGCCUACCUAUCUGUUGUCCAGCCAGUCGUGCUGUUACACUGCCUAUCUAUCUGUCAGCCCUGCUCUGAGACAUUAAUCAAUCAAUCACAUUGAUUUAUAUAGCCCUUCUUACAUCAGCUGAUGUCACAAAGUGCUGUACAGAAACCCAGCCUAAACCCCCAACCAGCAAUCAAUGCAGAUGUAGAAUCACGGGCGCUAGGAAAACUCCCUAGAAAGGCCAAAACCUAGGAAGAAACCUAGAGAGGAACCAGGCUAUGAGGGGUGGCCAGUCCUCUUCUGGCUGUGCCGGGUGGAGAUUAUAACAGCACAUGGCCAAGAUGUUCAAAUGUUCAUAAAUGACCAGCAUGGUCAAAUAAUAAUAAUCACAGUAGUUGUCGAGGGUGCAACAGGUCAGCACCUCAGGAAUAAAUGUCAGUUGGCUUUUCAUAGCUGAUCAUUCAGAGUUCUCUACCGCUCCUGCUGUCUCUAGAGAGUUGAAAACAGCAGGUCUGGGACAGGUAGCACGUCCGGUGAACAGGUCAGGGUUCCAGCAGGUCUGGGACAGACAGCAGGUCUGGGACAAGGUAGCACGCCCGGUGAACAGGUAAGGGUUCCAUAGCCACAGGCAGAACAGUUGAAACUGGAGCAGCAGCACGGCCAGGUGGACUGGGGAUAGCAAGGAGUCAUCAGGCCAGGUAGUCCUGAGGCAUGGUCCUAGUGCUCAGGUCCUCCGAGAGAGAGAGAAAGAAAGAGAUUAAGAAAGAGAGAAAGAAAGAGAGAAAAAGAGAGAGAGAAUUAGAGAUAGCAUACUUAAAUUCAAAAAGGACACCGGAUAAGACAGGAGAAAUAUUCCAGAUAUUACAGACUGACCCUAGCCCCCCGAGACAUAAACUACUGCAGCAUAAAUACUGGAGGCUGAGACAGGAGGGGUCGGGAGACACUGUGGCCCCAUCUGAUGAUACCCCCGGACAGGGCCAAACAGGCAGGAUAUAACCCCACCCACUUUUCCAAAGCACAGCCCCCACACCACUAGAGGGAUAGCUUCAACCACCAACUUACCAUCCUGAGACAAGGCCGAGUAUAGCCCACAAAGAUCUCUGCCACAGCACAACCCAAGGGGAGGAGAGACAACUAGUGUUCCAGCCCUGCUCUGAUACACGGGAGGAGAGACAACUAGUGUUCAGCCCUGCUCUGAGACACGAGAGGAGAGACAACUAGUGUUCCAGCCCUGCUCUGAGACACGGGAGGAGAGACAACUAGUUGUUCAGCCCUGCUCUGAGACACGAGAGGAGAGACAACUAGUGUUCAGCCCUGUUCUGAGACACGGGAGGAGAGACAACUAGUUGUUCAGCCCUGUUCUGAGACACGGGAGGAGAGACAACUAGUGUUCCAGACACAACAAGUCUUCUAGAAGGGGAUGGAGUUUGUCACCUGGACACUGAUCCCAAGUCAGCUUCUA